rnacentral:rRNA from 1 species
ACGAACGCUGGCGGCGUGCUUAACACCUGCAAGUCGAACGGAAAGGCCCUGCUUUUGUGGGGUGCUCGAGUGGCGAACGAGUGAGUAACACGUGAGUAACCUGCCCUUGACUUUGGGAUAACUUCAGGAAACUGGGGCUAAUACCGGAUAGGAGCUCCUGCUGCAUGGUGGGGGUUGGAAAGUUUCGGCGGUUGGGGAUGGACUCGCGGCUUAUCAGCUUGUUGGUGGGGUAGUGGCUUACCAAGGCUUUGACGGGUAGCCGGCCUGAGAGGGUGACCGGCCACAUUGGGACUGAGAUACGGCCCAGACUCCUACGGGAGGCAGCAGUGGGGAAUAUUGCACAAUGGGCGGAAGCCUGAUGCAGCAACGCCGCGUGCGGGAUGACGGCCUUCGGGUUGUAAACCGCUUUCGCCUGUGACGAAGCGUGAGUGACGGUAAUGGGUAAAGAAGCACCGGCUAACUACGU